CCCCGCUGAGGCAGAGGAAAGCAGCAUCCAGAAGACUGCGGGUUAGUGCAGACGACUGCCACCCUCUUACCUGAGUUACUAUCCCCGGCCAAAUGUGUAUUUUGAAAGCGUUCACUCUUUUUUUAGGCUUAUAGGGGCUUCUAAAAAUUUAGGCUCAUAAAAAUUUGAAGGUCUCUGGUAAUUUGCAAAUAAAACAUUUGAGCAACCAAAACUGUGAAGUCAUAGACAAGAACACUGGUGAAGUAAAAAAAACUGUCAGUGAUCUACCAGAAUUUUAUUGAUAUCUAAUGGGUUAGUAUUACAAAUAAUAAUAAUCAUUAUUAAAUAAUUAUGCAGUAUAAUUACUGGACCCAGGACUGUGUUGUAUAACUAAUCAAAGUAAUAAAGAUAAACAAAUGAAAGAAGAGGGCAGGAGAGGGGGUGCAAGCCCCAAACCCCCCAGAGCCCAUGCCCACCAUCCCACAGCCCGGCCAACAAAAUAAAUGCCUAAUAAAAUAAAAUAAAAUAAACCUGAUGAAAAUACACAAACGAAGCAACCUCCCCCCCCAGCUCCCUCCACGCCGAGGUACGUCCCACGCACUCCUAAGCCAAGGAUUUCAGUUCCAUACCCGGGUUGAUUUUGGGAGUAGCCACAGAUCCUUCCCCGUCUGUCACCCCCUCCUUCCAGAGGCUGUUAGAACUGUUAUGGACGGUGCCACGCCCCACCCCUGACCCCACCCCCGCCCCCUCAGUGGCAGCUCCAGGUUGCCGCGGGCAACAGCAGAGGAACACCUUGGCGAGGUGGGCCCUGAACCUGUGGGUGAAGGCGUACAGGAUGGGGUUGAGGCAGCAGUGGCAGUAGGCCAGGACGCGGGUGCAGGCCAGCGCCAGGUCCAUCCUCGCCCGGGAGUCACAGGAUCCGGGCAUAGCAGUACGCCACCACGGCCAGCGGCAGCAGGAACAGCAGGCCCACCUGCAGGAGUGCCCUGUAGAAGCACUUUGGCUGCGUGUCGAUGCCCAUGCUGAGGUUCUAGCUGCUGCUUCACAGCACAACUCGCUCUACCAGCUCUGAAUAGCAGAUGGCGCUGUGGUACAGACAGACGUGCGGAUUGUGGCUUCGGAAACUCUGCCUCAGCCUCGACUCAGCACAGCUCGAUGAACAGGUGAUUACUGGCUUAACGCUUAAAAAUUAGCUAUCCUGAGGAGCACAAACAGAAAUGCUGAAGAAAUAACUUUAUUAGCCAAAUGAAUAAAGUUCAUAGUUGGUGCAUUGAAUGGAGGUUCAGAAUUUACCUAACUACAACUAUGGCAGCCAGGGUUGUAUUUUAGAAAAGGACACGCACACACUGUACAUACAAAAAUACAUAUUAUUAGCACUGAUAAUUUGAUGACAUGAAAUGUUAUACAUUUUUUUAAAUGCAAAAAUUAAAAAAGAUCCUAGUGA